UCAUCAGGGGUGUGGGUAAAUACUCCAGGUCCCAAAUGUACCACAAGCGUGGUUUGUGGGCAAUCAAGGCUAAGAACGGGGGUGUCUUCCCCAAGCACGAUCCUAAGCCUAAGGUUGCCGCCCCUGCAGAGAAGGCUUCCAAGUUCUACCCUGCUGACGAUGUUAAAGUUCCUCUCCCCAACAGGCGCAAGCCCAAACCCACCAAGCUCAGGUAUGGCUUUUGAUUUACCUCUCUAGCUUAUACAGUUUCAUUUCGUACAAUAAAGGUGGCCGAAAUCUCUGAUUUAUUGUUCAUGUAUAGAUCUGUUGGUUAUUUUUUGCUAUCCCUAGCUGUAUGAAUCAAUCAUUGACGAUUGACCUUCUGUAUUGCCCCAUCACUGAAUUGGUUAUGUUGUGAACCUAUUUGCUGUAAUGAUUAUGAAAUCGACUUGUGAACCUAUUUGCUGUUAAUAUGCAGUUGUUUGUUCGUUCAUUCAGUUUUGUUAAUGUCUCCUGUUGUUUUCGCUCAUGCAGGGCUAGCAUCACCCCAGGAACUGUUUUGAUCCUUCUUGCUGGAAGGUUCAAGGGAAAGAGAGUUGUGUUCCUCAAGCAGCUUUCCUCUGGCUUGCUUUUGGUCACUGGUCAGUAUUUUCUUGUUCGAUUCCUGAAGUAGCUGCUUUAUAAAUCAUAAUCAUAUUAGUAUUGAUGUUUUUCGCUGCACACAUUGUUUUUUUGGUAAGCUUCCAUCCUUAGGAUUCGUUAUACAUGAUACAUGCUUUGAUUUUCAGUUGAUGCUCAUGCCUGUGUUGCUGUCUGCUGUUCUUGAUUGUUAUAUCUCUUUAUUGUUUGAUGGGGUUUAUUGUUUUGAUGUCUAGUUUCUUACUUGUGAAUGUGGAAAUGAGCAUGCUUGUCUGUUUUGCAUACUAGUCUGAUGCUGCCCGUCCAUUUUGAUUUUUGACGUUUAACACUAACAUACGAACAUCUUAUGCAGGGCCAUUCAAGAUCAACGGUGUUCCUCUGAGGCGGGUGAACCAAUCAUACGUCAUUGGAACUUCCACAAAGGUAGACAUUUCUGGCGCCAAUGUGGAUAAGUUUGAUGACAAGUACUUUGCCAAGACUGCUGAAAAGAAGAAGAAGAAGAGUGAGGGAGAGUUCUUCAAGGAAGAGAAGGAGGUAACUUUGCUUACAGAGUUCAUGUCCCUGUCAAUUGCUGAAACUUUCAUAAAGUUCUUGACAAUUUUCAUUCCAUUUACAGGAGAAGAGUGAGCUUCCCCAAGGCAAGAAGGACGACCAGAAGUCGGUUGAUGCUGCGUUGCUUAAGGCAAUUGAGUCUGUCCCAGAUUUGAAGUCCUACUUGGGUGCAAGGUUCUCUUUGAAGGCUGGCAUGAAGCCCCAUGAGCUUGUGUUUUAAACUCGAAACAGAGAUUGUUUGAACCGUUCCCUUUUGUCAGCUGAAGUUUUGUUUUGGAACAUCAGAUUCUCAGUGUUUGUAGUGAGUUAUAAUUUUGUGCUAGACAACUUGCUUUGGUUGAAUGACAAUUUGUUACAAAUUCUAUAAUCUUUAGUUGCUGCAUUUACUGUUUAAACGAUAGUAACUUGUUCCUCUCGUCCAUUGAAGUCCUGCUGCCUGCUCCUUCACUGUUGAUGAACACACCAGUAACUCUACUGCAUGGGUUCAUUGGUCGUGUUUCCAGAUUUUCGUAUGGCUUGGAUGGAUAUUUUGACAAUUAACGUCAUGCUAAACAUUAAACAAGAUACUCAAACCGAAUGGGUCAUUAGGCUCAAUAGACAUAUUUGACACCUCAAAAGCCCAAAACACUUUGGCAUGUAAUUGACAUCAAGAGUCCCGAACGUUUUAUGUUCCGUCGUGCCAAUUCCGGACAUUGAUACAACUUGAUCUCUCCCAUUCCCGCCAAGUUUCAUAAAUCACUAGUCCCCGGCGUUGAUACAACUUGAUCUCUCUCAUUUUUGCCAGCCCCCUUUCAUAACUUUCGUCUAUAUCACUAUUUGGAAUAGUCACCUCAUAUAUUCUCGUCAACUUUUUCCCACUCAUCGUCUAAUUACUCAUUGUUACUAGAUCUAGACAAAACUAUCAAAUUAAAGUUGAAGGAUAAGAUAAUAAAUCGUUAUUGAGAGAAGAAUGUUCAACUUCCUAUGUGGGGAUUUGGAUUGAAAGUAUUCAGAAUCGGACAGAAUUGUUAAAGAUGAAGUAGUCUUAACCUUUGGGACUGACGUGACUGAUUUUAGAACUUAGGGAUCUGUAUACUAAUGGGACGAAACGUUCGGACUGACGGUGUAAAUUAACCCAUUUUGGCUAGGGUUUUAGGGAUGCCCUUUCUCAUAUAUAUAAUUUAACUGUCCGCCAUAUGUAUCGAGCGCCUAGAGUGUAAUUUUGCUGCGGAAACCUUGAGCCCCCCAUCGGUGACUACCAACCUUCAUCAAUGGCGCCAAGGAAGACUCCAAAGGUUAGCAGGAACCCCGACCUGAUUAGGGGUGUGGGUAAAUACUCCAGAUCUCAAAUGUACCACAAGCGUGGUUUGUGGGCAAUCAAGGCUAAAAAUGGCGGUGUUUU
rnacentral:lncRNA from 1 species